rfam:Schistosoma curassoni strain Dakar, Senegal genome assembly, scaffold: SCTD_scaffold0004208
CUCCAGCUGACUAAUCUUAAAUAAGAUGAAACGUGCGUCCUGGAU